AGCAAGGGUGUGUUACAGACACAACUUACAUUCAGGCUGUACACACUUGUUCAGCCUUGGUAACUGUAUUAGAGUCCUCUAGAGGGACAGAACUAAUAGAAUAGAUGUAUAUAUAAAGGGGCUGGUUAUUAAGGACGACUAACUCACGUGAUCACAAAGUGAAGUCCCACAGUAGGCCGUCUGCAAGCUGAGGAGCAAGAAAGCCAGUCCAAGUCCCUAACCUCAAAAGCAGAGAUGUCGGCAGUGCAGCUUUCCGUCUCCGGGGAAGGCCUGAGAGCUGGGAAAUCCAAGAACCCAACAUCUGAAGAACCUGGAGUCUGCUGUUUGAGGGCAAGAAGCACCCAGCACGGGAGAAAGAUAAAGACUGGAAGACUGGUUGCACGGUACUGUCUUCUGAUACAGAACAAAUUACCAAAGGCUCAUUGGGAUUCCAGGAGAAAUCAGAUACUUGGCAGUGACCGUCACGAGUGAACAGCAGCUCUGGUGGCCUGCAUUCUGCAUCUUCUAGGGAUCGUUUCUAAUUUUACUUACAUCCUGGACAUUCAGUCUGUGGUUAGUACUAGUGGAAGCCAAAAUAGUCCAUUGUGAGGCGACCACUGAACGUGGAAUAGUUCAUCCUUUUGUGAUUCAGAAGAAUGCAACUGAAGUUUCCGAUUUCUCAGAUCCUACAAGGCAACCGUCUUAGCUGAUUCUGUGGCAAAAAUGAACUAAAAUGACUGAGAGGGAGUUCACUUCAGCACUGUGAGCAUCAGGCGAGUAGAUUGUUUUGGAAUUGUUGUUUGAAUGAGUAUCCCAAAUUGUAAAUUUCUAAUCAUCAGCAACUGACCCAAACAGAGGCUCAUGGGACAAACACCUGGAAGUGUCUUCUGUAUUCCCUGUAAGGAUGGGCCUUACAUCCGACACACCUGGAAGCCCCUGUAAGGCUGGUCCUCACAUCCGACACACCUGGAAGCCCCUGUAGGGAUGGUCCUCACAUCCGACACACCUGGAAGCCCCUGUAAG
rnacentral:lncRNA from 13 species